AGACAAGAGGGGUUGCUCUGAUAGUAAGCAACCCCCACUUCCAACUGAGAGGUUGUAAGUUCGAGUCUUCCCAAGAGCAAGGUGGGAAGUUCUUGGAGGGAAGGAUGCCGGGGGUCUAUUUGGAAACAGCCUCUCUACCCCAGGGAAGAGGGGUUGCUCUGAUAGUAAGCAACCCCCACUUCCAACUGAGAGGUUGUAAGUUCGAGUCUUCCCAAGAGCAAGGUGGGAAGUUCUUGGAGGGAAGGAUGCCAGGGGUUUAUUUGGAAACAAUAUCUCUACCCAAGGCUAGGGGUAAGGUCUGCGUACAUACUACCCUCUCCAGAUCCCACUACGUGGGAUUAUACUGGGUUGUUGUUGUUGUUGUGAGGAUAUGCAACAUUCUGCGUCUGUCAGUUUUGCUGAUAGUGGAAAACGAGCUCUACACUAGAAAUUUUCUUUUUUGGAUGAGGUGCACAUGCAAGUGGAAAAAAUGAUUCUCCAUAAUCCAACAAGAAUAUUGUCAGAGUUGUAAAAUAUGCACUGGGACGAAUAUUCUAUGUGAUCUUUGGACUGAUUGGAGCAUUUGUCUCCAAUGAGACGGGUGAGUGGUUGAGGCAUAGGAGUAGAGCUACAACAUGUAGAUCCUAGGUUUGGACCCUAGCUACAAUAAUAAGCGUGAGUCCAUUUGCUCCAGCCUUUGUGGGUAGGUUUUUCGGUACCUGUAUUUGUGAGUUGUAUUAGUACUGCUCGAUAGAUUAUCUAAAUACGCACAAGGUUGGAAAGCUGCGGUUGGUCCAAAGGAUCGGCCCUAGACGGAUUUCUCAGUCAUCAAAAAAAAAAAAAAAAAAAUACGCACAAGCUGGCUUGGACAACAUCCUCAUCAGAUUUUUUUAGAAAAAAGACAUUACUAGCAUUUAAUCGCGGUAAAGACCCUUUCCAAGUAUACCUCCCUUUUUGCAGAUAGACCUGUUCUUUUAGGUCAUAUUGCAUCUCAUUCGAUCAAGACCCAGAUUGUUCCUCUCUCUGGCUUCUCAUCUCUUUUUCUUCAUAUCAAAGACGAA
rnacentral:lncRNA from 1 species